GAAAAUUACAUCAAAUCAUCGCGAAAUAAUAAAAAACAUAAAAAAGGAAGACUUAUUAGAUACAGAUUUCCUUAAAUUUUAAACGGCCAGUACAACAAAAACCCUAUUCAAUGGAAUACGAUAACAGAUCAAUUCUCAUAUACAAUUGAGUCAAUAUCUGCAAUGUCCGCUAUAACCAAACGCCAAAAACUUUCCUCGGUGGCAAAACUUUUCGACCCCGCAAGAUGGCUUUCGCCAAUAAUGAUUCAAGCAAAAAAUCCUCAUUCAAGAAUUGUGGCAAGAUGGCACUGAAUGAGAUGAACGGGUAAAACCUGUACGUUUAACAAAAUGGGUUCAAUUUGCUAACAACUUGCAUACUAUAUCAGAUGUCAUUUCGGAUCCCUCGAUGGGUAAAUUUCACCCCUAACAUUAACGCAGAAUUACACGGUUUCUGUGAUGCCUCGGAAAAGGCAUAUUGUGCAACAGUCUACAUAUGCACUCAGUAUGAUAAUAAAAUAUCUGCACACUUCUUGGUAGCCAAAGUCAAAGUUGCACUUUUGAAGACACUCAGUCUGCCACGGCUUAAACUGAAUGGUGUUCUUCUGUUAGCAAAAUUAAUUUCAAUAGUUCAAACCCAUCUCAAAUUAACCGAUCAUAAAACGAAUCUUUGGUCAGACACCGAAAUAGUUUUAGCGUGAGAAAAACCACCCUAUAGCUGGAAGACCUAUGUAUCUAACCGAAUAUUUGAAAUUUUAGACUUAGUUGGCCCAGCAAAAUGACAACAUGCUGCAAGUGCAGAUAACCCAGCGGAUCUUGGGACAAGAGGUUGCAAGCCACAGCACCUCACCAGCACUACACUCUGAUGGAAUGGUCCAACAUGGCUAACAGAAUCACAAGAAUUCUGGCCAAAGUCUCCCGCUCGGAAUAUAAUACCGCCGGAAAAUUGAAAAUUUUCAUAUCACUCCAGAAUAGGAUGAUAUUUUCCACCGAUUUUCUUCAUUUUCUAGAGCACUAAGAGUAGUCGCUUACAUGCUCAAAUUCACCCAAAGACUUAAACAAAAAAUUAAAGGGAUACCAAAUUAUCCUUGCGUACUUGCCAAAGUUAGUCUCAUCACAUACACCCAAACUCGCUAUUUCAGUCGAGAGAAAACAAAGCUGCUCGAAAGACGACCACUCGAAAAGGGAAGCUCUCUUCUCAUCUUAAAUCUAUUCUUGGACAUUAAGGGAUUAAUAAGGGCAAAUGGAAGAUUAGCAAAUUCCAGCCUCAGUUACAACGAACGGCAUCCCAUUAUUAUACUUGAGAAAUCCCGUUUUACUCAUUUAUUUUUAAUAUAUCUUCACCAGCUUACAUUACAUGGUGAGCAUCGCUUGAUGCAGCAAAUGGUCCGACAAGAAUUUUAUAUACCGCGACUAAACCCACAACCACAUCUGAGACAUCAGGAGACUCACGCACUUUAAUAAAUCGAUGGGAAAGAAUCAAGAUUCUCCAUCACGAAUUCAGCCACAGAUGGAAGGAGGACUAUCUUAAAGAUCUCUAUAAAGAGAUAUCCAUGGAAAACGAUCCAGAAGGAACCCAGUACAGGCGAAUGCGUCAUCAUACAGGACGAAUGCCUUCCCCAACCGAAUGGCGAGUAGGCCGCAUUGAAAAGAAAUGGACAUAGAAGACAUCCAAAUUACUCCCAAGACUGUGAAGUCCGCGAUUGCUGCGCCUAGAGCAUCAGCUCCACCCAUCGCCGCACCAAGGACAUUAUUGAGUCCGCCAAGGCAAUCAUCUGCUGCAACACUUAGGGAUACAAAUGAAGAUCCAUUUGAAGAAAAUUUGCUUCCACUAUGCAGCUUAUGCCAUCGUCCUCAUGUUCUUAAGAGGUGCACCAUCUUCAAAAGCAUGAAGCCAGCUCAACGCCAACAGAUCGCCCGCGCACACGGCCAUUGCAUGAAUUGCUUGGCAGACUCCCACACCACAUUCGAAUGCCCAACCGACAGGUCAUGCCAAUAUUGUCAACGCCCUCAUCAUACCCUGUUUCAUCGAUUCCCUCGCCGAGUCAAUCCGCUAGCAAUCCACACAAAUAACAGGCACAGACAACACGAGGAUCCCGUCCAGCGUCGAAGAGUGCACCAUUCCGGGCGCACCAGGGAAGCGCGCUCACGAUCACCUCCGCCAAACUACGGUCAUCGUAAUCAACAGCGCAAACCAACUGGACUGAACGCCGUAGUGAGCACUAGGGUGGGUCGAUUCCGGACUUUUUUCGAUUCGGCAUUUCUAAUAGUGCGGAAAAGUUGCCUUAGUACUUCCUGAUUCCAAUGCAAGUUUUUGUUUUGAGAUCGGAUUGCAUCUUCAACCCCAACUCCGGCCUUGAAAUUUCGGAAAUUCGCCUAAAAUCGUGAAAUUGUCUACCUAGCGCCGGAAAUACGCAUCUCAUGGCAAAAUGUAUAAAACAAAAGUUAUUUGUCACGUCAUUUGCUACCGAAAUGGUACAAGUGAUCAUGGCCGUAGGACGAACCGUUCCUGAGAUACGAGCGAAAAGGCGGCGCGCCACAGCGCAAGGUGAAAAUUGUUGCAGCUCUUAGCUAACCUGUAUUGGUCACCCAGAACCCACCGCGUGGAGAUGGCUGCUCUUCGGUUGCUCAGCAACCGCUUCAACAUCAUUAAAACCCGUUUCGAAAAGCAGCACAAGUCAUCACUAAUCAAGUCGAGAGAACCAGAGACGCCAACGUUCACACUAAGGCACAGAGAGUCAACCAAAUAAAUGAUGGGAUGCGAGAUAUCCAGUCAUUAUACAAUGAGUCACCAAGCGAGUACACCGACCAUAAGCAUUUUUUAUAAGGCGACAUGGCCUACCAACCUUACAGCGCACAUCACCAGAUGGUAUAUACACGGAGUAUAAACUUUUAGACUCAGGCGCAACUAGUAGUUAUAUAAAAAGAGAUUAUCCAUACGCUAAGAGAAUUGCAUUAGAUAAACAUAUAGAAACAAACACGUUACAUGGUGGAUCAAUUAUAACUCACAAAAGAGAAAUAAAUUUAGUUGGACAUGAUUUAAUUUUUAAAGAAAUUGAUAAAUGGCUGACAUCAUCGCCGUCCAAGAAAUGCGAUGGACGCGACAACAGCUGCGGCGAGUAGGUCCUUGUGGCAUUUGAUACAGUGGUCAUAUAAAGCAGCGCGAAUUCGGUGUGGGAUUCGCAAUGGGAGAGAGACUCCAUCACCGAGUAGUGUCAUUCAUCCCCGUGGAUGAACGUCUAGCCACAAUCCGCAUCAUAGCGAAGUUCUUCAAUAUAUCGCUGAUUUGCGCCCAAGUCCUGACGGAAAAGAAAGACGAUGUGACCAAAGAUGCCUUCUAUGAGCGUUUGGAACGCACCUAUGAAAGCUGCCCCCGCCACCAAGUGAAAAUCAUGCUUGGCGACUUAAACGGUAGGAUGGGCAAAUAAAGUAUCUCUGGCGCAACAGUCAGCCUCCACGAGGAAACAUCCCCAAAUGGGUUGAGGCUGAUCGACUUCGCUGGGGCCCGAAAUAUGGUUAUCCAAUAUUCCAGCAUAGAAAAAUUCACCAAGCUACCUGGCUGUCUCCGGAUCGAAAAACCACCAACAGGAUCGAUUAAGGUGUGAUAGACGGAAGACACGUCUUCAGUGUUUUAAACGUGCCAUCGCUCCAAGGUCCUAACAUCGACGAUGCAGGAUGAGAUAAAUACCGAGUGUUGAAGAGGGAAGUGAGACGCAUUUGCAGGCAGAACAAGAAAAAAUGUUAACUUCGGCUGCACCGAAGCUAAUAUACCCUUCACAGGUGCAUUUCUUUUAGUAACUAUGUGCCCAGUUUGUAUGGAAGCUAUAUGCAAUAGUAAUCCGACCUGAACAGUUUUUCGGAGAUUAUAUUGAUACCUUAAGCAGUAAACCAUGUCAAAUUUCGUGAAGAUACCACGUCAAAUGCGAAAGUUUUCCAAACAAGAACUUGAUUCCGAUCGUUCGGUUUGUAUGGCAGCUUUAUGCUGUAGGGAGCCGAUCUGAAUAAUUUCUUCGGAGAUUACAUUGUUGCUUUAGAAAAUAAUCGAUACCAAAUUUGGUGAAUAUACAUUGUCAAAUGUGAACGUUUUCUAUACAAGAACUUGAUUCCGAUCGUACAGUUUAUAUGGUAGCUAUAUGCUAUAGUUAACCGAUCUGACCAAUUUCGACGGAGAUUACAUUGUUGCCCUAGAAAAUAACCUUUAUCAAAUUUGGAGAAGAUACAUUGUCAAAUGUGAAAGUUUUCUAGUUCAGUUUGUAUGGCAGCUAUAUGUUAUAGUGGUCCGAUAUCGGCAGUUCCGACAAAUGACGUUUGCAAAAUUUCAAAACGAUGUUUUAAAAGCUGAGGGACUAGUUCGUAUAUAUACAGACAGACGGAAAUGGCUAAAUCGACUCAGCUCAACAUACUGAUCAUUUAAGUACAUAUAUAUUUUAUAGGGUCUCCGAAACUUCCUUCUGGGUGUUACAAACUUCGUGACAAUUUAAUAUAUUAAAGUAUUCUCAACCUUUUUUGCAACUAUUUCUGUAACCUCUUUACUCCUAGGUUCAUAGUUGUCGCCUCGGAGUCGCUCUAUACGAAAUCUUUCAAACUGAUAACACAAAAGAACAUCCUGGUCAGUAGGUAACUGGGACUCAGAGAGAUUGUACGGAUAUAUGCCAAACACAGGACAUUUCUGUCUAAAUUUAAAUUUAGAUACAGACAUUUUGAGUUCUGUGUUCUGUUGAGAGAAUAUAAGUGAUAGCACUAGGCGAAAUCAACGACAAGAGUGAAGGAACUCGAUGAAAAAAUAUUUAUGUGGAGACCAGUCCGAACGUGUCGUAUGGCGCAGGGAAAUGAAUGUAAGUGAUAGAACUCGGCGAAAUCACCGACAAGAGUGAAGGAACUCGAUGAAAAAAUAUUUGUGUGGAGACCUAUUCGAACGUGUCCUUUGGCAUAGGUGAAUGAAUGUGAGUGAUAGCACUUGGCGAAAUCAACGUCAAGAAGUGUGGCCGCAAGCCGAUUUUCAACUUGCGCUAUGGCGCUCCGCAUUUUCGCUCGUAUCUCGGGAACAGUUCGUCCUAUGGCCAUGAUCACUUAUACCAUUUCGGUAGCAAAUGACGUGACAAAUAACUUUUGUUUUAUACAUUUUGCCAUGAGAUGCGUAUUUCAGGCGCUAGGUAGACAAUUUCACGAUUUUAGGCGAAUUUCCGAAAUUUCAAGGCCGGAGUUGGGGUUGAAGAUGCAAUCCGAACUCAAAACAAAAAGUUGCAUUGGAAUCAGGAAGUACUAAGGCAACUUUUCCACACUAUUAGAAAUCCCGAAUCGAAAAAAGUCCGGAAUCGACCCACCCUAGUGAGCACUCUGCAACGGUUGCAAAGACUUCUAGGCGAUUGCGGUAUUUUGCUAAGUCGCACACAUCCUCCUCGCAGCACUCAUCGACACAACAUGUCAUCCACACAACCACCGCUACACAUCAUACCAACCACACUACACACCAACACUUCGCUUUUUUCACCACCCACAACCGAUACAAAAGGAUUGGUCAGAUCGGAAUGGGCGCUUUUUCGUUUUUCCCGUGACCUCGAAGGUUCCGCCAUCGGUACGUCCGUCGAAGCAACGCUGCGUAAUAUUAGUGAAAUAAAUAACUUUGAGAUUGUUUAAGUGAAAACCAAAGUGGUAUAAUUUUUGUAAAGAAAAAUAACAUUUUGUAGAAUCCAAAUAAGCUUUGAAAAAAAUAAAGAAAUAAAAAUAAAA